AACCUUUAGCCAAACAAAUAUUAAAGGCAACGCCUGCCCAGUGAAUAAUUUAACGGCCGCGGUAUCCUAACCGUGCAAAGGUAGCAUAAUAAUUUGUCUACUAAUUAUAGACCAGCAUGAAAGGCAAAAUGAGGGUCAAACUGUCUCUUAUAAUUAAUCAAUUAAACUGAUCUCCCAGUAAAAAAGCUGGAAUAACCACAUAAGACCAGAAGACCCUGUGAAGCUUAAACUAAACUAUUAAACCAAAUAAUAGCUACUUUCGGUUGGGGCGACCUUGGAAAAAAAAAGAACUUCCAACAUAUGACCUCCCUCAUACCACUCAGGCCUACAAGCCAAUAUUUGACCCAGCAGAGCUGAUAAUUGAACCAAGUUACUCCAGGGAUAACAGCGCAAUCCUCUUCAAGAGCCCAUAUCAAAAAGAGGGUUUACGACCUCGAUGUUGGAUCAGGACAUCCUGAUGGUGUAGCCGCUAUCAAGGGUUCGUUUGUUCAACGAUUAAUAGUCCU
rnacentral:rRNA from 1 species